GAUGAACGCUGGCGGCGUGCCUAAUACAUGCAAGUCGAGCGAACGGACGAGAAGCUUGCUUCUCUGAUGUUAGCGGCGGACGGGUGAGUAACACGUGGAUAACCUACCUAUAAGACUGGGAUAACUUCGGGAAACCGGAGCUAAUACCGGAUAAUAUUUUGAACCGCAUGGUUCAAAAGUGAAAGACGGUCUUGCUGUCACUUAUAGAUGGAUCCGCGCUGCAUUAGCUAGUUGGUAAGGUAACGGCUUACCAAGGCAACGAUGCAUAGCCGACCUGAGAGGGUGAUCGGCCACACUGGAACUGAGACACGGUCCAGACUCCUACGGGAGGCAGCAGUAGGGAAUCUUCCGCAAUGGGCGAAAGCCUGACGGAGCAACGCCGCGUGAGUGAUGAAGGUCUUCGGAUCGUAAAACUCUGUUAUUAGGGAAGAACAUAUGUGUAAGUAACUGUGCACAUCUUGACGGUACCUAAUCAGAAAGCCACGGCUAACUACGUGCCAGCAGCCGCGGUAAUACGUAGGUGGCAAGCGUUAUCCGGAAUUAUUGGGCGUAAAGCGCGCGUAGGCGGUUUUUUAAGUCUGAUGUGAAAGCCCACGGCUNCACCGUGGAGGGUCAUUGGAAACUGGNAAACUUGAGUGCAGAAGAGGAAAGUGGAAUUUCCAUGUGUAGCGGUGAAAUGCGCAGAGAUAUGGAAGAACACCAGUGGCGAAGGCGACUUUCUGGUCUGUAACUGACGCUGAUGUGCGAAAGCGUGGGGAUCAAACAGGAUUAGAUACCCUGGUAGUCCACGCCGUAAACGAUGAGUGCUAAGUGUUAGGGGGUUUCCGCCCCUUAGUGCUGCAGCUAACGCAUUAAGCACUCCGCCUGGGGAGUACGACCGCAAGGUUGAAACUCAAAGGAAUUGACGGGGACCCGCACAAGCGGUGGAGCAUGUGGUUUAAUUCGAAGCAACGCGAAGAACCUUACCAAAUCUUGACAUCCUUUGACAACUCUAGAGAUAGAGCCUUCCCCUUCGGGGGACAAAGUGACAGGUGGUGCAUGGUUGUCGUCAGCUCGUGUCGUGAGAUGUUGGGUUAAGUCCCGCAACGAGCGCAACCCUUAAGCUUAGUUGCCAUCAUUAAGUUGGGCACUCUAAGUUGACUGCCGGUGACAAACCGGAGGAAGGUGGGGAUGACGUCAAAUCAUCAUGCCCCUUAUGAUUUGGGCUACACACGUGCUACAAUGGACAAUACAAAGGGCAGCGAAACCGCGAGGUCAAGCAAAUCCCAUAAAGUUGUUCUCAGUUCGGAUUGUAGUCUGCAACUCGACUACAUGAAGCUGGAAUCGCUAGUAAUCGUAGAUCAGCAUGCUACGGUGAAUACGUUCCCGGGUCU
rnacentral:rRNA from 1 species